AGAGUUUGAUUCUGGCUCAGGAUGAACGCUAGCUACAGGCUUAACACAUGCAAGUCGAGGGGUAGCAGGGUAGCAAUACCGCUGACGACCGGCGCACGGGUGAGUAACACGUAUCCAACCUUCCCAUAACUCAGGGAUAGCCUUUCGAAAGAAAGAUUAAUACCUGAUAGUACUUUUUCAAGGCAUCUUGAGAAAGUUAAAGAUUUAUUGGUUAUGGAUGGGGAUGCGUUCCAUUAGAUAGUUGGUGAGGUAACGGCUCACCAAGUCUUCGAUGGAUAGGGGUUCUGAGAGGAAGGUCCCCCACAUUGGUACUGAGACACGGACCAAACUCCUACGGGAGGCAGCAGUGAGGAAUAUUGGUCAAUGGGCGAGAGCCUGAACCAGCCAAGUAGCGUGAAGGAUGAAGGUCCUAUGGAUUGUAAACUUCUUUUAUAGUAGAAUAAAGUGAUCCACGUGUGGAUUUUUGUAUGUAUACCAUGAAUAAGGAUCGGCUAACUCCGUGCCAGCCGCAGC
rnacentral:rRNA from 1 species